UGAAGGAGCCAGAUGCUUCCUCGUGAACUGGGAGACUGCCAUGGAUCCCUGCAGCGCUGAGGACUGGCCAACACUGCCGGAGCCACACAUUGACCAAGCCAAGGAGGAGUUACUGGGACUGCCACUGGCCUUCUAUCUGGAUGAUGCAGAGGCUCCUGUACAGACCCAGACAGCAGAAGCCAUGUGGACAAUUUCACCAUAUAGGAGUUCAUAACAAAGAAUUUAACUGAAGAUUGCAAUGAUAAAUGAUAAUGACUGCUGUGUGGAAAACUGACCACCAUCAGAAGAACCACCACCUUCUUGCAAGCUCUUUCUGCGGUCCAUUUUCAGACCUGGUACUUAACUAAAGGGAACAACUAAUGGCAAGUAGAAUGUAAAACAUUACUGUCUGUCAUCUUCUAAACCUGGCACAUUCACCAAAUUCUUUUGCCAGGUUUUGACAAAACACCCUUUCCAAAACCAACAUUUUCAGGGUGUUCUCCUACUCUUAAAAAUAGCUGACUUUCUAGCAUGCAAAUCCAAAAGGAAAAAAUUUAAACCUGACAGGACUAUGAAAACAACAAUGUAAAAUGUGUAGAACACAAUAAAGCCUUGUACUCUCACUGUUCCUCUGCAUUCAGACAUAACCAGUGGACUUAGAUUAAAUCAAUU